rnacentral:rRNA from 1 species
CUUAACACAUGCAAGUCGAACGGUGAAGCCAAGCUUGCUUGGUGGAUCAGUGGCGAACGGGUGAGUAACACGUGAGCAACCUGCCCUGGACUCUGGGAUAAGCGCUGGAAACGGUGUCUAAUACUGGAUAUGAGCUCUCACUGCAUGGUGGGGGUUGGAAAGAUUUUUCGGUCUGGGAUGGGCUCGCGGCCUAUCAGCUUGUUGGUGAGGUAAUGGCUCACCAAGGCGUCGACGGGUAGCCGGCCUGAGAGGGUGACCGGCCACACUGGGACUGAGACACGGCCCAGACUCCUACGGGAGGCAGCAGUGGGGAAUAUUGCACAAUGGGCGGAAGCCUGAUGCAGCAACGCCGCGUGAGGGAUGACGGCCUUCGGGUUGUAAACCUCUUUUAGCAAGGAAGAAGCGAAAGUGACGGUACUUGCAGAAAAAGCGCCGGCUAACUACGUGCCAG